rnacentral:rRNA from 1 species
UACCCGCAGCACAAGUGGUGGUCAUUAUUAUUGGGCCUAAAGCGUCCGUAGCUGGCCUGUUAGAUGCCUGGGUAAAUCGGUGCGCUCAACGCACCGAACUCCGGGUAGACCGGCAGGCUCGAGACCGGGAGAGGCAUGGGCUACUCGCGGGGUAGGGGUAAAAUCCUGUAAUCCUGCGGGGAGGACCAGUGGCGAAGGCGCCAUGCUAGAACGGCUCUGACAGUGAGGGACGAAGCCCUGGGGCGCAAACCGG